rnacentral:rRNA from 1 species
GAUGAACGCUGGCGGCGUGCCUAAUACAUGCAAGUCGAGCGAACAGAUAAGGAGCUUGCUCCUUUGAAGUUAGCGGCGGACGGGUGAGUAACACGUGGGUAACCUACCUAUAAGACUGGGAUAACUUCGGGAAACCGGAGCUAAUACCGGAUAACAUUUAGAACCGCAUGGUUCUAAAGUGAAAGAUGGUUUUGCUAUCACUUAUAGAUGGACCCGCGCCGUAUUAGCUAGUUGGUAAGGUAACGGCUUACCAAGGCGACGAUACGUAGCCGACCUGAGAGGGGGAUCGGCCACACUGGAACUGAGACACGGUCCAGACUCCUACGGGAGGCAGCAGUAGGGAAUCUUCCGCAAUGGGCGAAAGCCUGACGGAGCAACGCCGCGUGGGUGAUGAAGGGUUUCGGCUCGUAAAACUCUGUUAUUAGGGAAGAACAAAUGUGUAAGUAACUGUGCACAUCUUGACGGUACCUAAUCAGAAAGCCACGGCUAACUACGUG